rnacentral:rRNA from 1 species
GAUGAACGCUGGCGGCGUGCCUAAUACAUGCAAGUCGAGCGAAUGGAUUAAGAGCUUGCUCUUAUGAAGUUAGCGGCGGACGGGUGAGUAACACGUGGGUAACCUGCCCAUAAGACUGGGAUAACUCCGGGAAACCGGGGCUAAUACCGGAUAACAUUUUGAACCGCAUGGUUCGAAAUUGAAAGGCGGCCUCGGCUGUCACUUAUGGAUGGACCCGCGUCGCAUUAGCUAGUUGGUGAGGUAACGGCUCACCAAGGCAACGAUGCGUAGCCGAGCUGAGAGGGUGGUCGGCGACACGGGGGCUGAGACACGGCGCAGACUCCGACGGGAGGCAGCAGUAGGGAAUCUUCCGCAAUGGACGAAAGUCUGACGGAGCAACGCCGCGUGAGUGAUGAAGGCUUUCGGGUCGUAAAACUCUGUUGUUAGGGAAGAACAAGUGCUAGUUGAAUAAGCUGGCACUUUGACGGUACCUAACCAGAAAGCCACGGCUAACUACGUGCCAGCCGCCGCAGUAA